GCACAUUUGAGCUUCUACUCGAAUCUACAUCUCCUGAAUUGCAAUUCUUGAGACCCCAAAUAAACUUUUUGGUUCUUUUGCAGUUUAUGCCUCUUAUUUGCUGACUUUACAUGGUGACAGAAGUGGGAUCCCUAGCUACUGACCUUCAAUUCUGGUGCCACUUCACAGACACAAGCAAGGUGCCUGCAAAGAAUCUUUUGUGCUCUGUCGUCUCCUCCUGGUGGCUCUGGUUCCUGGUGAUUGGUUGCAGACAAUGAUACGGGCGUCAGGAAUGGCGGAGCCAAGAGACGGGAAUUCAUGGGUGACUGACACACCCUGUGGAAGAGAACCACCUGCCCAACACGAAACCCACCUUGGCCUGUAAGGCAAUCACACAUAAAUGUCUAUUCUCUGGUUAUUCUUU